AUAUCUAACAGAAACACUAUUCAGAAGACCCUGAAAAUAGGUGAAAGAAUCAGAAAAAAAAAAAAACUGGUGGAAGAGUCUGUAAACAAAAACAAGUUUAUAGCAAAGACUUUAAGUAAGGAGGAAAAUGAGAAAGAGGGUGAAGAUGCCUCUUUGCAUCAUGAGACAGUUAAAUAGACAUCAAACCAAGGUCACACCAGAAAAAGAGCUAAGUCUAAUUUCAAGCUCAAGUUGGGUCAGUCUGGCAGUAUGUA
rnacentral:lncRNA from 1 species